rnacentral:lncRNA from 1 species
UCUUUUUAAUGGAAAAGGAAGAAUGAGUUGGAACAUUACAUUUGUUGCCUAAAAUAUUGUAGGCCAUCUUGUGUAGAGCCUAAAUUUAAAUCAGGUUCUCCACUGAGCAUAAAAGCAAGUGUUUGGAUGGCAACAUAAUCUGAAUCGUUGUAGAGCCAUGAGGCUACUAUAACCAAAAAAAUCAUAAUUAUCUAAUAUGAGCAGCUGCUAUAUUGUAUUUCAAAACCUGCAAAUAUGAAUAACAUACAACUAUAAAACCACCAUAAAAUUCAGUGAAAAGCUGUAUACAAACAUUGAUUAUAUCCAAAGAGUAGGAUCCAAAGAUAGAUCCAUUAAGAAUAAUGUUAAGCCAUAUGAUAUCAUUGUACAAAUUAGAAACUUUACAUUCUUUUAAUAACGUAGUCUGUCCAACAGUAAAUCAAAAGAAAAGCAUUAUGUUACCAUCCAAACACCAUAUUCUUAUUCAACUACAAUCACAUGUGGGAGCAAGUAAGCAACUGGAAACUUUUUUACCCGCUAAGAUGGAAAAGGGAAGACAUAGAAAACAGAAAGAAGAAUAGUGCACUACCUACAGAUUCUCUUGUAGUUCCAUCUGAUCCCCACACUGAAAAUCAGAGAAACAUAAUGUAUCAAAACUUAAAACAAAUUUUCUAUAGUUUUAAGCCAAAAGCCUAUAAUCAGAGUGCUGAAACAUGAGUAAACAAAAGUUACCUGAACAUCUGAUAGCUUUCCCUGACAUUUCAUUAACAAAUCAAUUAGGCAUUAGUGAAAAAAGUUGCAAUUAGCCUCUGCCUUCAAUGCACCCCUUCUAUUUUCCUGUUUCCAUUGUCUCUCCCAUACCUCUCGCAUAUGAAAAUCGCCAUGCUCCUCUCUUCAGUUUUUAGGUUUAGAGAGGGACUGUGAGAGGAAAAUAUGCUCUGUGAUUAUACAUACCCUGAACAACUUAUUCAAGUUGCAUAUUUAAGAACAAAAGUAGAAAUAAAUAUUCCAUACUCUGAAAAUAAAAAUAUAAUUAAAAUCAAAACAUUUAUGUAAAAUAUUAAUGAACAUCUGCUGCUAGUCGAAUUGAAUGAUACAUCAUCUUUUCUAAUCUCUCCAAAUCAGAUGUAGUCCUCCAUAAGUUGUUAAAUAAGCAAGAAAGUGGGUGGUUUCCCGUCUGUUCACCGUAGCCUGUCAAUCAUCUACAUGCUCUCCAUUUAAAGUUCCUCAAAUAUCGGCAUACACACUGGUGUUCGAAUCGAUGGUGGUGAGUCGGUGGAAGUAACCUUAGGAUGACAUAAAAUGAACCCAUAUAUGUUACAUGAAAAAAAAACCUUAAAAUUCGAUUCAAAAAACUGACAGUAGAAAGAAGGACAAUCGGAAGUGAAGUAACCUGAGCAAGCUGGAAUCGAGAGAGAGGGAGGGCAAAUCGUAUGUAUGGUUGUAACAACGGAUUGGGUAAGAACGUCGAUGAAGGAUCGAUGAUGGUGGUGUGGAGAAGUUGUACGGUUGCAAGUUUUUGGCACCGCGCUCCGUCAAUGUCUAUUUUCCAUGUGAAGGUGAAGGAGACGUAUGAUGGAGUUAGCUUAAAGUAACGAUCGGUGGAGCAAAACCAUUGGACAACUGAAGCGUUGGAUUGAGAAUCACAACAUGUGUCGACAAAGAACGGAGAAAAUUGCAUAAAGUGCCCAGAAGAAAAAUGCCUACGAACAAAUCCAGAACAUAACAAACCCCCAUAAACGAAGGACGAUUUUUGCCAAAAAAAAAACAGCUAAUCAAAUACCUAGGGACCAAUUAUGCCAAACUUUAGCCACUUUACUGUAGCUAAGGUUGGAUAAUUUUAAUAUAUAGUAUAAUUUUAAAAAGUUAUUUAGUUUAAUAAAAUAUUGAAUAUAAUACUUAAUAAAUACAUACACGUUUUCAAAAAAAAAUGUCUGUUAGCUAAUCAUUAACUACGAUGCUAAACAUCAGUUUGGAAAAAAAAACUAAGCUCCUACACAUGCUAAAAUAAUUAACUAUAUGAAUAAUAUGACGUUAAUUACGUUUAAUUUAUUUUAUUUAAUUGAGAAUAAUUUUUUAAACAAAACUAAUGUCAUA